UUGUGAGAUGAGAAGCCGCACAGCCAAAGUGACUCGGCCUGGCCGAGUUGUNAUUUGUAGAAGGUGCUUCGGGCGAGGCCCCGGCCAAAGUCCCUUGGAACAGGGCGUCGCAGAGGGUGAGAAUCCCGUACGCGGCCGAUGGCCAAGCCCUUGUGGAGCCCUUUCGACGAGUCGAGUUGUUUGGGAAUGCAGCUCUAAAUGGGUGGUAAAUUUCAUCUAAAGCUAAAUAUUUGCCGGAGACCGAUAGCGCACAAGUAGAGUGAUCGAAAGAUGAAAAGCACUUUGAAAAGAGAGUCAAACAGUACGUGAAAUUGUUGAAAGGGAAGCGCUUGCAACCAGACUCGUUCGCGGGUGCUCAGCCGUCCCUCGGGGCGGUGCACUCUCCCGCGUUUCGGGCCAGCAUCGGUUUUGGCGGCCGGAUAAAGUCCCCGGGAACGUGGCUCUCUUCGGGGAGUGUUAUAGCCUAGGGUGCAAUGCGGCCAGCCGGGACCGAGGACCGCGCGUUCGCUAGGAUGCUGGCGUAAUGGUUGUCAGCGACCCGUCUUGAAACACGGACCAAGGAGUCGACCAAUCUGGCGAGUUUUAGGGCAUGAAACCCUGGAGCGCAAUGAAAGUGAACGCAGGUGGGAGCCCCCGGGUGCACCAUCGACCGAUCCUGAUGUCUUCGGAUGGAUUUGAGUAUGAGCCCGGUUGGUCGGACCCGAAAGAUGGUGAACUAUGCGUGAAUAGGUGGGUUAAAAAGUGGAAUUGUUUUCGUUGCGGUAGAACUAAUUAUAAAAUAGGGUGAAGCCAGAGGAAACUCUGGUGGAGGCUCGCAGCGGUUCUGACGUGCAAAUCGAUCGUCAAAUUUGCGCAUAGGGGCGAAAGACUAAUCGAACUAUCUAGUAGCUGGUUCCCGUCGAAGUUUCCCUCAGUGAGUCGAACUCCGCUCCCAGGGUUUGCUUUUUCGUACAAUACUAAUUAAUUGAAAAGGGAUAGCAGCAACGAAAACAGUCUCAUGAGGUAGAGCAAACGAUUAGAGGUCUUGGGGUUGAAAUCGACCUUAACCUAUUCUCGAACUUCGAAUAUGUGAGAAGUCCUUGUUACUUAGUUGAACGUGGACAUUGGAUGUAUCGUUGCUAGUGGCCCAUUUUUUGUAGCCAGCAGAACUGGGCGCG
rnacentral:rRNA from 1 species